CAUGAUAAGAUUGUUGUAAUACGUUAAACUCAUCAGGAAUCAUUGGAUUCUCUGAGAUAUGAUAAGAUUGUUGUAAUAAUUGAAACCCCUCAGGAAUCAUUGGAUUCUCUGAGAUAUGAUUAGAUUGUUGUAAUACGUUAAACCCCUCAGAAAUCAUUGGAUUCUCUGGGAUAUGAGGUAUCUUUUGUAAUAAUUGAAACUCCCUUGUGAAAUCAUUGACCUCUAUAUUAUGAUAAGAUUGUUGUAAUACGUUAAACUCCUCAGGAAUCAUUGGAUUCUCUGAGAUAUGAUAAGAUUGUUGUAAUACGUUAAACUCAUCAGGAAUCAUUGGAUUCUCUGAGAUAUGAUAAGAUUGUUGUAAUAAUUGAAACCCCUCAGGAAUCAUUGGAUUCUCUGAGACAUGAUAAGAUUGUUGUAAUACGUUAAACUCCUCAGAAAUCAUUGGAUUCUCUGAGAUGUGAUAAGAUUUUUGUAAUACGUUAAACUCCUCAGGAAUCAUUGGAUU
rnacentral:lncRNA from 1 species